rnacentral:rRNA from 1 species
UACGUAGGGUGCGAGCGUUAAUCGGAAUUACUGGGCGUAAAGAGUGCGUAGGCGGUUCUUGAAGUCCGCUGUGAAAGCCCCGGGCUUAACCUGGGAAUGGCAGUGGAAACUGGAGGACUUGAAUUGAGCAGAGGGGGGUGGAAUGCCGCGUGUAGCAGUGAAAUGCGUAGAGAUGCGGCGGAACACCGAUGGCGAAGGCAGCCCCCUGGGCUUAAAUUGACGCUGAGACGCGAAAGCGUGGGGAGCAAACAGG